rnacentral:rRNA from 1 species
UACGUAGGGUGCGAGCGUUGUCCGGAAUUAUUGGGCGUAAAGAGCUCGUAGGCGGUUUGUCGCGUCGGCUGUGAAAACUGGGGGCUCAACCCCUGGCCUGCAGUCGAUACGGGCAGACUAGAGUUCGGUAGGGGAGACUGGAAUUCCUGGUGUAGCGGUGAAAUGCGCAGAUAUCAGGGAGGAACACCGGUGGCGAAGGCGGGUCUCUGGGCCGAAACUGACGCUGAGGAGCGAAAGCGUGGGGAGCGAACAGG